GACGUAGGAGGCGAGCGUUAUCCGGAUUCACUGGGCGUAAAGCGUGCGCAGGCGGCUCCUUAAGUCAGAUGUGAAAGCCCCGGGCUUAACCUGGGAACUGCGUUUGAAACUGGGGGGCUAGAGUGUGGAAGAGGGGGGUGGAAUUCCAGGUGUAGCAGUGAAAUGCGUAGAGAUCUGGAGGAACACCGAUGGCGAAGGCAGCCCCCUGGGCUAACACUGACGCUCAUGCACGAAAGCGUGGGGAGCAAACAGG
rnacentral:rRNA from 1 species